GCCCGCCCGGCGCAGCCCGGACCCCGCCGGCCGCCCCCGGCCCGCCCGGGGCUCUAGGGAAGGGGCGGCCGGGUCUCAGCCCGGAGGAAGCGGAAAGAAGGUCAUCCCUGAACUGAACAUCUAGGGUUAACUCAGCGCCAAGCUCCUGUUCUUAACAGCCUGAUGUCUCAUGCUAAGAAGCAGGUCACGACAUUUAUCUAAAGAUGCGCCUCUCCCAGCGGGUCGCAGCCUCUCCAGCCUGGCCAUGACCAUGACAGUGACAGCAAAGAGGACCGUUCUUAGUGUGGGGGUAGCCUCUCUUGACCAGGCCUCCCUCUGCAACUGGAAUUGCAGUGACACAGGAGAUUCAAGACAGCAGAGACCCGCCAGGCCAAGGGUCUCACUGUCCCUUCAUCCCAUUAGACAGGUAUUCUCGCUUUCUGCCAAAGCUGCGAUUCCUUUCAAUGUUCAAACAGUUGUGGGCCCCCGAGCUGCUGCAUGCGGCUUGCCUGGUCUGGAGGAAGACAAAGAGGUGGUUAGCUGCAGCUCACAGCCUGGGUUUGAAACAGGCAUGUUUGAGCGAGUGUUUCAAAGGAUGGCAGUGAUCUGCUCAUUUUUAUUACAUUCUUGGGGCAGAAUUUGUCAGCCCUUGGUGACACCCAUUAUAAUGCUUUGACCUCAUUCAGUCACCAAAGGGCAGAUUUCUCUUUGUUCUCUAACAGAAACACAACAUGGCAAGUAAACGUGAGUUCUAAAACGAGACUGUCACCAGGGGUAUUUAUGAGCCUAUCAUGUCUCCGCUGUUGCACUGAGAAGCUCACCUUUGGAGAAGGAGGCAUAUAUGUGCCCCUUAUGGGCCCUCGUGUGACACAGUGGUUGCUAUUUAUGAACCCUGUUUAUUCCCACGAGACAGGAGGAGUAAUCUUAAGGUGAUAUAAGAGAGACUUAGGAGGCUUUCUUUUAACAUUAUAGGGUCAUUAAUUCACUUGACAAACAAUUGUGUUUUUAUUUUUAAAUUUUUUAAAAAAAUUUUAAAUCCUCACCCUAUUGAUUUUAGAGAGAG